rnacentral:rRNA from 1 species
CCGUGAGAGCGGUAGCCCGGAGAUGGGUACUGAGACAAGGACCCAGGCCCUACGGGGCGCAGCAGUCGCGAAAACUCCGCAAUGCACGAAAGUGUGACGGGGCUACCCCGAGUGCCAUCCGCUGAGGGUGGCUUUUCUUUGGUAUAACUAGCCAGGGGAAUAAGGAGAGGGCAAGACUGGUGUCAGCCGCCGCGGUAAUACCAGCUCCUCGAGUGGUAGGGAUGAUUAUUGGGCUUAAAGCGUCCGUAGCCGGCUUAUCAAGUCUCCUGUUAAACUCAGCGACCUAAUCGUUGAAUCGCGGGAGAUACUACUAGGCUAGGAGGCGGGAGAGGUCGACGGUACUUCUGGGGUAGGGGUGAAAUCCUAUAAUCCCAGGAGGACCACCAGUGGCGAAGGCUGUUGACUAGAACGCGCCCGACGGUGAAGGGCGAA